CCUACGGGAGGCAGCAGUGGGGAAUAUUGCACAAUGGGGGAAAGCCUGAUGCAGCGACGCCGCGUGAGUGAAGAAGUAUUUCGGUAUGUAAAGCUCUAUCAGCAGGGGAGAAAAUGACGGUACGUGACUAAGAAGCCCCGGCUAACUCCGGGCCAGCAGCCGCGGUAAUACGGAGGGGGCGCGCGUGAUCCGGAUUUACUGGGGGUAAAGGGAGCGUAGGCGGCAAGGGAAGCCAGAAGGGAAAGCCCGCGGCUUAACUGGCGGACGUCUGUUGAAACUGGCUAGCUUGAGUGCAGGAGAGGUAAGUGGAAUUCCUGGUGUAGCGGUGAAAUGCGUAGAUAUUAGGAAGAACACCAGUGGCGAAGGCAGCUUACUGGACUGUAACUGACGCUGAGGCUCGAAAGUGUGGGUAGCAAACAGGAUUAGAUACCCCUGUAGUC
rnacentral:rRNA from 1 species